CCUACGGGUGGCUGCAGUGGGGAAUAUUGGACAAUGGGGGGAACCCUGAACCAGCCAUGCCGCGUGUGUGAAGAAGGCCCUCGGGUUGUAAAGCACUUUCAGUGAGGAAGAACGCCUGGUGGUUAAUACCCAUCAGGAAAGACAUCACUCACAGAAGAAGCACCGGCUAACCCCGUGCCAGCAGCCGCGGUAAUACGGAGGGUGCGAGCGUUAAUCGGAAUUACUGGGCGUAAAGCGCGCGUAGGUGGCUUGAUAAGCCGGUUGUGAAAGCCCCGGGCUCAACCUGGGAACGGCAUCCGGAACUGUCAAGCUAGAGUGCAGGAGAGGAAGGUAGAAUUCCCGGUGUAGCGGUGAAAUGCGUAGAGAUCGGGAGGAAUACCAGUGGCGAAGGCGGCCUUCUGGACUGACACUGACACUGAGGUGCGAAAGCGUGGGUAGCAAACAGGAUUAGAUACCCUAGUAGUC
rnacentral:rRNA from 1 species